rnacentral:rRNA from 1 species
GCUUGCUCUUAUGGGUGGCGAGUGGCGGACGGGUGAGGAAUACAUCGGAAUCUACCUUUUCGUGGGGGAUAACGUAGGGAAACUUACGCUAAUACCGCAUACGACCUUCGGGUGAAAGCAGGGGACCUUCGGGCCUUGCGCGGAUAGAUGAGCCGAUGUCGGAUUAGCUAGUUGGCGGGGUAAAGGCCCACCAAGGCGACGAUCCGUAGCUGGUCUGAGAGGAUGAUCAGCCACACUGGAACUGAGACACGGUCCAGACUCCUACGGGAGGCAGCAGUGGGGAAUAUUGGACAAUGGGCGCAAGCCUGAUCCAGCCAUACCGCGUGGGUGAAGAAGGCCUUCGGGUUGUAAAGCCCUUUUGUUGGGAAAGAAAAGCAGUCGGUUAAUACUCGGUUGUUCUGACGGUACCCAAAGAAUAAGCACCGGCUAACUUCGUGCCAGCAGCCGCGGUAAUACGAAGGGUGCAAGCGUUACUCGGAAUUACUGGGCGUAAAGCGUGCGUAGGUGGUUGUUUAAGUCUGUUGUGAAAGCCCUGGGCUCAACCUGGGAAUUGCAGUGGAUACUGGGCGACUAGAGUGUGGUAGAGGGUAGUGGAAUUCCCGGUGUAGCAGUGAAAUGCGUAGAGAUCGGGAGGAACAUCCAUGGCGAUGGCAGCUACCGGGACCAACACUGACACUGAGGCACGAAA